CCACUCAAACUCCGAAUACCGAUGACAACUGCCUGGGAGUGAGGCAGCGGGAGAUAAGUCCGUUGCCGAGAGGGAAGAGCCCAGACCGCCAGCUAAGGCCCCUAAGUUCGAGCUAAGUGUAGAAGGAUGUGGGAACGCUUUGACAACCAGGAUGUUGGCUUAGAAGCAGCCAUCAUUCAAAGAAAGCGUAAUAGCUCACUGGUCAAGCGGGCCCGCGCCGAAAAUUCAACGGGGCUUAAGCUCGACGCCGAAGCUGCGGACUUUUUAAGUGGUAGACGAGCGUCCUGACGGAGAUACGCGGUAGACCGAAAGGACUACUAACGGCUGUCAGGAGUGACUAUGCAGGCAUGAGUAGCGAUAAACCGGGUGAGAAACCCGGUCGCCGUAAGCCCAAGGUUUCCUGGGGAAGGAUAAUCCUCCCACGGGUUAGUCGAUACCUAAGCCGAGGCCGAGAGGCGUAGGCGAUGGAAAGCAGGCGAAUAUUCCUGCACCGGCAGAGGUGACGUAGACGCGAGCGGGGAC
rnacentral:rRNA from 1 species